AUCCAGUUGACGAAUCCAAAACAGGACGAAACGCGUGUCUUGGAU
rfam:Schistosoma haematobium scaffold879_4, whole genome shotgun sequence.